rnacentral:lncRNA from 1 species
AGCAGCUCAACGCCGGUUUGACUGAAGGAUAUGACAAAAGGGCAAGGCAGGGGAGUCUUUCUCUCUACUCUCUCUCUUUCUCUCUCUUUCUCUUAUUUCUACAUUUCCCCCUUGCACUAACCUGAAAUUACAGGUUAGGGACAAUGUACAAAAUGGAACUAUUGAAAAUGUACUCCAAUACAUCGUCCCAAACGGGAGGAACACUCCUCCACAGCCAGAUGGCCGUCUCUCCCGACCAUCCAAACCCAGAUUAAAAAUGGAAGACAUUCUCCCCUGUGACUCUGCUCCCCAAGAUUACGGGGAUGAAAAACAACAUCUCCCACCUGGAAAGUGAGAACAACACCACUUUUCCCCUGUGGCCUUAAUAUUAUACAUGCUACUACCUCUCCAUAUAAUGAAGACUGUAUUAGUUGUCAAGCUGC